UUUUAUUUUAUUUAGAAAAGCAAUAUAAAUAAUUUCUAAACUGAAAAAAAAACUUAAAUCCUAUGAAUUAAUAAUUAUUUGUAAUUAAUAAAAUAUUAUUCAGAAUUUUAUUCAUUUUAUAAAGAUUAAGUAUUUAUUUAAAUGCCUUAAAUAAAGGUACUAAAUAAAUACCUAAUUUUUCAUUAUGUUUUCCUAAGGUGUAAAAAUUUUAUUGCAUAAAGGAAAAUACAGCAAUCCUAAUAAAAUUUGUUUCACUAUUUUUGGACCGUUCUACACAUUUUGGUGAAUUAAAUAUGGAAAUAGGGACUUAAAAUAAUUUCUAAAAUUAAAAACCUAUCAUUAUCCCAACCCCCCUGAACUCACUUUGUCACUCGCGC
rnacentral:lncRNA from 1 species